UACAGAGGUCUCAAGCGUUGUUCGGAUUCAUUGGGCGUAAAGGGUGCGUAGGCGGCGCGGUAAGUCGGGUGUGAAAUCUCGGGGCUUAACUCCGAAACUGCAUUCGAUACUACCGUGCUUGAGGACUGGAGAGGAGACUGGAAUUUACGGUGUAGCGGUGAAAUGCGUAGAUAUCGUAAGGAAGACCAGUGGCGAAGGCGGGUCUCUGGACAGUUCCUGACGCUGAGGCACGAAAGCUAGGGUAGCAAACGGG
rnacentral:rRNA from 1 species